AGAUUUUAGGGGUGAUGUGGCUACACCCCGUUUAUUGGUUGCCAGGGUAAUUCUGCUGAUGUCUGGCUGGCUAGGAGGGUGUGUCCUUCCUGCUUCACUACUCAUGUGCAUCUACAUCUGUCUCAAAGCUUCAAGCUGGGUUGAAGAGGGCAUCCUUCUGGAAAAGAAGGAUCACUUGUUCUUGCAUCAAGCAUAGAUGGAUAGUUUCUCUCCCUUGGUAGAUCCUCCACAAAAGGAUUUAGUAUUCCUGCUCAAAUCUGGGAGAUUUGUGCUGUCUUUAAGACCGCCUAAGCUACUCUU
rnacentral:snRNA from 1 species